rnacentral:rRNA from 1 species
UACGUAGGCAGCAAGCGUUGUUCGGAGUUACUGGGCGUAAAGAGUGCGUAGGCGGUCUUUUAAGUUUGGUGUGAAAUCUCCCGGCUCAACUGGGAGGGUGCGCCGAAAACUGGGAGGCUUGAGGAUGGGAGAGGCAUGCGGAAUCCCUGGUGUAGCGGUGAAAUGCGUAGAUAUCAGGAGGAACACCUGCGGUGUAGACAGCAUGCUGGACCAUUUCUGACGCUGAGGCACGAAAGCGUGGGUAGCAAACAGG